UACAGAGGUCUCGAGCGUUGUUCGGAUUCACUGGGCGUAAAGGGUGCGUAGGUGGCCUGAAAAGUUUGAUGUGAAAGCUCAGGGCUUAACCCUGAAAUGGCAUUGAAUACUGUUGGGCUGGAGGUUUGGAGGGGGGACUGGAAUUCUUGGUGUAGCAGUGAAAUGCGUAGAUAUCGUGAGGAAGACCAGUGGCGAAGGCGGGUCUCUGGACAGUUCCUGACACUGAGGCACGAAGGCCAGGGGAGCAAACGGG
rnacentral:rRNA from 1 species